ACUCCCGUUCUUGGCAGGCCCCGGCCGCCCCGUGCCCGGGUCUGUGAUGUCCGGAGGUAGAGCAGAGACUCUUUCACAGGC
rnacentral:snoRNA from 1 species